ensembl:lncRNA
AGAGUCUUUCCCAAUUAGCAAUCAUAACACCUGAAGCUUUGAAUGGUUGUUGUAUGUUUAUCUUUCUCUUCAAGCUCACUCUGCUGGCUCUCAUAACCAAGUUCAGACAACCUUCUGUCUGCCAGCCACAAAGACAACGCCCACAGCCCCCACCCCAGACGGAGAUCGGAGUCAUUUCCAUGAUCGCUGUGUGUGUUCUGCUGCCUUUUUAUUUAAUUGUGCUUUAUGGUGUGCCUGUUUCCAUCAAGGAUUUGCGCGGGCUUACAAUAUUAAAAAACACACAUCCAACAGAAAUAUUUCAGAAACACACAAAACUCAGAACAAAACUCAAGCCACAGGAAGGGAAAGAUGUUCCAACGUGGGUGUUCCAUGACUUAAUUUUUCACGUGUGGUAAAACAGAGUCAUGAGAAGUGCAAUACUGAGUAAUAGGAAGGUGUCUUUAGGAGUUUUACUCUGUCUGGAUUUUAAUUAUUGUGCUGUUUGCUUAAAUUCUCCAGGUCUCACUCUUCCCAUCACUAAAAACAGGGACAACAGCCCUACCUCAUAGGAUGGAGAACAAAGUAAGAUAAGUUUUGGUUUUGUUUGCAAGCACUGUUGGACAUUUGCAUGAGCUGUUUGGCCUGUGGGCUCUGUGAUCACCAAG